UCAAACUUGGUCAUUUAGAGGAAGUAAAAGUCGUAACAAGGUCUCCGUAGGUGAACCUGCGGAGGGAUCAUUACCGAGCUCGUGCCCCUGGGCAGAACUCCCACCCACUGAUAUCGCUGCGACCGUUGCUUUGGCGGGCCGCGGGGCGCCCCCCCGCCGCCGGCCCCGCGCCGGCGCGCGCCCGCCAGAGGCCCCGUCGACCCUCGAUGUCCGCGUCGUCCGAGCGUCAUGUCAAUCGUUAAAACUUUCAACAACGGAUCUCUUGGUUCUGGCAUCGAUGAAGAACGCAGC
rnacentral:misc_RNA from 1 species